AAAAAGGCAAACCGUGGGUUCCCGUGCCAACGUUUGACUGUCUGUCUUAUAUGAAAUUUUUUUAUAAUUAGUAUUUUCAUUGUUGUUGUUAGAUGAUAAAACAUGAUUAAUACUUUAUGCGUGACUUAUUUUUUUUAAUUUUUUUCAUAACUUUUCAAAUAAGACGAACAGUCAAACGUUGAACACAGAAACCAGGGUUUGUCUUUUU
rfam:Oryza sativa Japonica Group DNA, chromosome 11, cultivar: Nipponbare, complete sequence.